rnacentral:rRNA from 1 species
AGCCGCGGUAAUACGUAGGUGGCGAGCGUUGUCCGGAAUUACUGGGCGUAAAGGGCGUGUAGGUGGUUUAGCAAGUCAGGUGUGAAAUACUAGGGCUUAACCCUAGUCAUGCAUUUGAAACUGUUAGACUUGAGGGCAAGAGAGGAAAGUGGAAUUCCUAGUGUAGCGGUGAAAUGCGUAGAUAUUAGGAGGAACACCAGUGGCGAAGGCGACUUUCUGGAUUGGCCCUGACACUGAGGCGCGAAAGCGUGGGUAGCAAACAGGAUUAGAUACCCUGGUAGUCCACGCUGUAAACGAUGGGUACUAGGUGUUGGAGGUAUCGACACUUUCAGUGCCGGAGCAAACGCAUUAAGUACCCCGCCUGGGGAGUACGGUCGCAAGACUGAAACUCAAAGGAAUUGACGGGGGCCCGCACAAGCGGUGGAGCAUGUGGUUUAAUUCGACGCAACGCGAAGAACCUUACCAGGGCUUGACAUCCCCUGCAAGUCGUAGAGAUACGAUGUUCUCAUUUGAGACAGGGAGACAGGAGGUGCAUGGCC